GACUAUACAUUCUGCUUUAGCCCAGCCACAGAAACAGAGUCCUGAACUGGCUGGGUGACAAACAUUACCUCUGAGCUUUUCAGUUGCCUGCAGGCAUGAUAUUUUAUCAACAAGGAUUCAGGUGGCAAGAAACAGAGGUUCAUUUAAUAGUGCUCAUUAAAACAAAAAUAAAAAAUCCAUACACGUUUGAGAAAACAGACAGCGUUGGUAGCCACUAAGGAAGGGUAAAAGCACAGGGAAGCCUGGAUUCUGAACUGGAAAACCAUAAAGUACAAUUUUAAAAAGAUUAAAGUGAAAAACAGAGGAUGAGUAUGUCUGCAAACUCUGAACAAACUACACUGCUUAGAAACCAUAUGUAAGCAACUGGAUCUCUCUCAACUGAAACACAUAGCCGAAAGGCAAUGCAUAACAACGACUCCGAUUCAAGGAGUAGAGUGUAAAGCUCACCUGAGACUGCGAGAUCGUGGCCGCAUGGCUGGAGAAUGACG